GGUUGCAACAUCCCCGUGGGUUGGGUGAGGACGGAAGUGCGUCUUCACAGUGAAUCCACUGCAACC
rnacentral:sRNA from 12 species